CAAGGUGACGAUCUUUUGGGCGGAACCGAAAGUCGGGAAACUUUGGUUCCGCCCGGAUGUUUCCGCCCAGACCGGGAAGAGGAAACACCGGACAUCCGGUAGCAUCGCAAGGGCUGUAAUCAGCGAAAUAGAGCGCAGCUGUGGGCGUUUAAGGAAAACGCCGGUUGAUUGGAGGAUUACAGCAUACAGAGGAGUAUUUUAGGACAGUGUAAACGACAGUUUGGGGCGUUAGUUGUGAGUUGAAGUACGGAGCUGUGCUCGUCCGUUACACGUUGGCAGUUGGUUGCACUUUCUCUCUUUCCCUCUCAUAGUUCUCAGCGGAUGUUACCGUAAGCAGAAACCCUGUGGGUAGAAGAAAACAACGGUAAAUGUGACACGUUUGGAGUAACCAAGGAUUAAGGAAACGAAGCUGGUUGUAAACUGUUUACCAAGGAGAUCGCCGUGAGUAUUGGCUCUAGAUUUGAUCUGAAACCAUAGCUACCAACUUGUGUAUUAUUGAACGCUCUAGGAAGAGGAAAGCGGCCCUACCCCCGAUCGAGCGUGGUAGGUGAGCCGCAGGAAUAAGUGGAUUACAUCGCCAUAGCAGCAGACCUAAAAGCUCCGGCCGUAGUGUCAUCGCCCUCAUCUGCCCUUAGCGAAGUGGAGGACGCUGGGCGUCGCGUAUGUGCACCUGUAGAGUGGUGGGUGAGUCUAUGUCCUUUGAAAACCUUUUCACGUUGAAGUGGUGCUGUGUAUUUGCUGUGGGUUGCUGUGCAAGUGCUGUGUGUCUUGUCAGACGUACCCCGCAUCAUCCCCUCCACUGAGGAAGAGACGGAGAGGCUGACGGCUGUGUGAACAUUAACUAUUGUAUGCUGUGUGCGAUUUAAGUGAACAGUGACGGUGUGGGCCGUGGAAGUUGCCCCGUCGGUGUGUUGACAGUUGCAGAGUGCGGCGGUGAAAACCUGGAAGCUGGCAGUGUGUGUGUGUGAGUACAAACACGUACCUGUAUAUUGCUACUUUACCUGUGUGUUCCAUCUGUGGCAGAGUGAAGGGCGAAGGAGUUCCGCCGCCCCGUGGUCUCUACAAAGGGGCGCCCCUGUCUGGUAUUCGAUCGGCCUACGGGCAUUGAGGACAGGGCAGCGCUCGGCCCGGUGAGACGGUGUGACGAUUCGCCCCCCUGCUGACCCGCGGAUCCGCCGAGAGGGUUUUAGCCCCCGGCGCCCCCUUAGGAAGAUCGUCGCCGUUUGCCUUCUGUGCAGGCCAGUUGUCGUAAGCCGCCCUGAGUAUUGUCGACCAAAACACCGUAUAGCGAGCUGAGGAAAAGCUGCGCUACCCUGAGCUGUAAACAGCAGAGAGUGGCCUGUGAGGAGAGAGACAAGGCGAGAGCGAAGGUCAGGAGAGUGACCUGUGGAAGGAAGACCAUAUUUACCACGAGUUACCAGCAAGCCAACAGGCGAAGGCGAUCCUAGCCCAGGUUGAACGAGUCUUCGCGUCCCGGUCAAACCCUGUGGAGAGAAACACCCAGUGGAGUGAGCAGAGGAGUAUCGGCCCGACGUGGCGCAGGUAUCACAGUAGAGAGAGAGAGAUACAACCCCAAAAUUCAUACUGCUUGUCUUUUGCCUCCAGGAGAGAAGAGGAGGGCGCCACGGAUAGUGGGAUUGGCAGGAGCCUGUGUUCCCCCGUCCCCUCCCCCCUACACUUGGGUCACCAGCCCCUGGAGCCCCCGUCGCUCUUCCCCCUUUCUGCCCCUCUCCCGUGCUGUGGCCUGUCUGGAAGGCAGAGAGGAGUUAGUUUUAAUUGCCCCUUUCCCCAUUUCCCCCAGUUAUUUUAAAUAUUUAAAUAAAGUUUGUUUUAAUACUUA